rnacentral:snRNA from 1 species
AGAUAUGAGGAUGAUCUGGCUGUGACAUUUGUCACCCCAUUGAUUGCCAGGGUUGGUUCGGCCUACCUGGCUGGCUAGGCAGGUGCUCCCUUUCUCCCUCACAGCUCCAUCCAUGUGUGUCCCUCCCAAAGCCGCAUGCUCAGUUAAAGAGGACAACCUUCCCCAAUAGAAGAAGACCAUUCUUCUGUCUAGGGUAUAUAAGUAACUACAUGCCCCUGUUGGAACCUCCAAAAAGGUUCAAAAGAAGAUAGACAAAUGGCCAACAAACAUAUUAAAAAAUGUUCAACAUCACUAAUCACUAG